UUUGGGUCCAUUUUCACUCGUCGGGAACUCAUGCGCCCCAUUUGCGUCUCUGUGGACGUGGAAACUGGGGGAAGCGCCCAUGAACACAGCGGGAACACGCAGGGUCCACGCACGGGGCCCGGUCGGGUUCAAGUCCACGGAACUUGUUGGUUUUAGACCAUAUUGCUGACGUGAGGCCGCCGUGCCGCUGCGUCUCUGCUGGUCGUCAAGGCAACCAAGAAGAGAGGAGUUUGGGUUUUGGCUUAUCGGGGUGGACCGCAGCAGACCCCCCCCCCUUGCAUCUCUGCCCUCUUUCUUCUCUCUCAUCAGUGACCGGGGAAGCUGGUGGGAGGAGGCGGCACAACGACGUGGGAGGACAAAUAUUUCAGCUCAAAGGAACCGAGGCUCCACUUGCAGCACCGGUCCUGAAAGUGUAACUCCGGGGCCGCCGACAUCUGUCAGGGGACUCCAGGUGUCCGUCGGCAAAAUGAAUGCAUUAUACCUACGUAGUAUCUGAACCAAAGUCGUCUAUGUACUGCAAACCUCUUCUUAAUCCACUUGAAAUAAUCACCCAACUGAAAUCCACAGACCUGCUAUUGCACAACCCACCUCCUCCUCAUCACCACCUUGACCUCCGGGACGUCCAGGAAGACUCAACUGAAAUGCCCCCACCGUUCAUCUGCUUCCUCUAGGCUGCUCCGGGGUUGGGUCCUGUCCUAUCUACAUCUUCAUUAGGGCGUACGUUCAAUGAAGAUGCUUCACA